rnacentral:rRNA from 1 species
GGGUGAUAGUCCCGUAGUUGACGACGUGUGUUCAGUGAAAUCGAGUAGGGCGGGACACGUGAUAUCCUGUCUGAAUAUGGGGGGACCAUCCUCCAAGGCUAAAUACUACUGACUGACCGAUAGUGAACCAGUACCGUGAGGGAAAGGCGAAAAGAACCCCUGUGAGGGGAGUGAAAUAGAACCUGAAACCGUGUACGUACAAGCAGUAGGAGCAGGCUUUGUCCUGUGACUGCGUACCUUUUGUAUAAUGGGUCAGCGACUUAUAUUCAGUGGCAAGGUUAACCAUCUAGGGGAGCCGUAGGGAAACCGAGUCUUAACUGGGCGUUCAGUCUCUGGAUAUAGACCCGAAACCAGGUGAUCUAGCCAUGGGCAGGUUGAAGGUUGAGUAACAUCAACUGGAGGACCGAACCGACUAAUGUUGAAAAAUUAGCGGAUGACUUGUGGCUAGGGGUGAAAGGCCAAUCAAACCUGGAGAUAGCUGGUUCUCCCCGAAAGCUAUUUAGGUAGCGCCUCGGACGAAUACUACUGGGGGUAGAGCACUGUUAAGGCUAGGGGGUCAUCCCGACUUACCAACCCUUUGCAAACUCCGAAUACCAGUAAGUACUAUCCGGGAGACACACGGCGGGUGCUAACGUCCGUCGUGGAGAGGGAAACAACCCAGACCGCCAGCUAAGGUCCCAAAUUACUACUAAGUGGGAAACGAUGUGGGAAGGCUCAGACAGCCAGGAUGUUGGCUUAGAAGCAGCCAUCAUUUAAAGAAAGCGUAAUAGCUCACUGGUCGAGUCGGCCUGCGCGGAAGAUGUAACGGGGCUAAGUAGUAAACCGAAGCUGCGGCAAUGUGCUUUUGCACAUUGGGUAGGGGAGCGUUCUGUAAGCGGUUGAAGGUGUGUGGUAACGCAUGCUGGACGUAUCAGAAGUGCGAAUGCUGACAUGAGUAACGAUAAAGGGGGUGAAAAACCUCCUCGCCGGAAGACCAAGGGUUCCUGUCCAACGUUAAUCGGGGCAGGGUAAGUCGACCCCUAAGGCGAGGCCGAAAGGCGUAGUCGAUGGGAAACGGGUUAAUAUUCCCGUACUUCUUACAAUUGCGAUGGGGGGACGGAGAAGGC